rfam:Daucus carota subsp. sativus cultivar DH1 chromosome 3, whole genome shotgun sequence.
UGUGUGGAGAAGGAGCUCUAUUCAGACCAAUACUGAGGGCUGAGAAGCGGAUGGAGCUGUCAUCUCAUGCACUUGGUUAUGCUUUGUAUUUUCUAUGCUAUGAAUUCUGGAUGAGCAAAAUGUCGAAGGAGGAUCUGGAAGUAGAGUCUGGCCAGAUGCAUGAUGUGAGAGCAACUCAUUUCGCGGACUUCUCCCACUUAUUGGACUGAAGGGAGCUCCAAGUAAUUCUAUC